rnacentral:rRNA from 1 species
UCGGAUGCUGACGAGUGGCGAACGGGUGAGUAAUACAUCGGAACGUGCCUAGUACUGGGGGAUAACUACUCGAAAGAGUAGCUAAUACCGCAUGAGAUCUACGGAUGAAAGCAGGGGACCUUCGGGCCUUGUGCUACUAGGAGCGGCUGGAUGGCAGAUUAGGUAGUUGUUGGGGUAAAGGCUUACCAAGCCUGCGAUCUGUAGCUGGUCUGAGAGGGCGACCAGCCACACUGGGACUGAGACACGGCCCAGACUCCUACGGGAGGCAGCAGUGGGGAAUUCUGGACAAUGGGCGAAAGCCUGAUCCAGCAAUGCCGCGUGCAGGAUGAAGGCCCUCGGGUUGUAAACUGCUUUUGUACGGAACGAAAAGCCUGGGGCUAAUAUCCCCGGGUCAUGACGGUACCGUAAGAAUAAGCACCGGCUAACUACGUGCCAGCAGCCGCGGUAAUACGUAGGGUGCAAGCGUUAAUCGGAAUUACUGGGCGUAAAGCGUGCGCAGGCGGUUUUGUAAGACAGUGGUGAAAUCCCCGGGCUCAACCUGGGAACUGCCAUUGUGACUGCAAGGCUAGAGUGCGGCAGAGGGGGAUGGAAUUCCGCGUGUAGCAGU